rnacentral:rRNA from 1 species
UACGAAGGGGGCUAGCGUUGUUCGGAAUCACUGGGCGUAAAGGGCGCGUAGGCGGCUUUAUAAGUCGGGGGUGAAAGCCUGUGGCUCAACCACAGAAUUGCCUUCGAUACUGUAGAGCUUGAGACCGGAAGAGGUAAGUGGAACUGCGAGUGUAGAGGUGAAAUUCGUAGAUAUUCGCAAGAACACCAGUGGCGAAGGCGGCUUACUGGUCCGGUUCUGACGCUGAGGCACGAAGGCCAGGGGAGCAAACGGG